rnacentral:rRNA from 1 species
UACGAAGGGUGCAAGCGUUAAUCGGAAUUACUGGGCGUAAAGCGCUUGUAGGCGGCACGUCAAGUCGCGUGUGAAAUCCCCAGGCUUAACCUGGGAAGUGCGCGCGAAACUGACGAGCUUGAGUGCCGGAGAGGGUCGCGGAAUUCCCGGUGUAGAGGUGAAAUUCGUAGAUAUCGGGAGGAACACCAGUGGCGAAGGCGGCGACCUGGACGGACACUGACGCUGAGACGCGAAAGCGUGGGGAGCAAACAGG